rnacentral:rRNA from 1 species
GUGGCUUCCGGAGCUAACGCGUUAAGUCGACCGCUGGGGAGUACGGCCGCAAGGUUAAAACUCAAAUGAAUUGACGGGGGCCCGCACAAGCGGUGGAGCAUGUGGUUUAAUUCGAUGCAACGCGAAGAACCUUACCUGGUCUUGACAUCCAGGUGCUGCAUGGCUGUCGUCAGCUCGUGUUGUGAAAUGUUGGGUUAAGUCCCGCAACGAGCGCAACCCUUAUCCUUUGUUGCAACUCAAAGGAGACUGCCAGUGAUAAACUGGAGGAAGGUGGGGAUGACGUCAAGUCAUCAUGGCCCUUACGACCAGGGCUACACACGUGCUACAAUGGCGCAUACAAAGAGAAGCGACCUCGCGAGAGCAAGCGGACCUCAUAAAGUGCGUCGUAGUCCGGAUUGGAGUCUGCAACUCGACUCCAUGAAGUCGGAAUCGCUAGUAAUCGUGGAUCAGAUGCCACGGUGAAUACGUUCCCGGGCCUUGUACACACCGCCCGUCACACCAUGGGAGUGGGUUGCAAAAGAAGUAGG